AAGCGGUGAAGUAAGGUGCUGUGCCAGAGAGCAGUGCCUUAUGAACUUUAUAUGGGUUUGACGUUUACCACAAUCUGGUUAGAGAUGCUAUCUCGAAAGAAAAUGUCGGGG
rnacentral:sRNA from 19 species